GCCGUAGCGCGGUGGUCCCACCUGACCCCAUGCCGAACUCAGAAGUGAAACGCCGUAGCGCCGAUGGUAGUGUGGGGUCUCCCCAUGCGAGAGUAGGGAACUGCC
rnacentral:rRNA from 2 species